GUUGCGGCCAAUUGACGUGGCGUUACUAGGCGUGUCGCAUCACUGAGGCGGGAGCCAGGCCGCAAGCGAAUUUCCUGACUGGCUGUGAUCUGCGGGUUGCUGGGGAGAGGCGCGGAGAGGCGGGCGAGAGUCCGCAGGGCAGGCGCUGAUUGGCUGAGGUGGGAGCAGCUUCCCUUCCGAUGAUUCGGCUCUUCUCGGCUCAGUCUCAGCGAAGCGUCUGCGACCGUCGUUUGAGUCGUCGCUGCCGCUGCCGCUGCCACUGCCACUGCCACUGCCACCUCGCGGAUCAGGAGCCAGCGUUGUUCGCCCGACGCCUCGCUGCCGGUGGGAGGAAGCGAGAGGGAAGCCGCUUGCGGGUUUGGCGCCGCUGCUCGCCCACCGCCUGGGAGAGCCGAGCCCCGGCCCAGUCGGUCGCUUGCCACCGCUCGUAGCCGUUACCCGCGGGCCGCCACAGCCGCCGGCCGGGAGAGGCGCGCGCCAUGGCUUCUGGAGCCGAUUCAAAAGGUGAUGACCUGUCAACAGCCAUUCUCAAGCAGAAGAACCGUCCCAAUCGGUUAAUUGUUGAUGAAGCCAUCAAUGAGGACAACAGUGUGGUGUCCUUGUCCCAGCCCAAGAUGGAUGAAUUGCAGUUGUUCCGAGGUGACACAGUGUUGCUGAAAGGAAAGAAGAGACGAGAAGCUGUUUGCAUCGUCCUUUCUGAUGAUACUUGUUCUGAUGAGAAGAUUCGGAUGAAUAGAGUUGUUCGGAAUAACCUUCGUGUACGCCUAGGGGAUGUCAUCAGCAUCCAGCCAUGCCCUGAUGUGAAGUACGGCAAACGUAUCCAUGUGCUGCCCAUUGAUGACACGGUGGAAGGCAUUACUGGUAAUCUCUUUGAGGUAUACCUUAAGCCAUACUUCCUGGAAGCGUAUCGACCCAUCCGGAAAGGAGACAUUUUUCUUGUCCGUGGUGGGAUGCGUGCUGUGGAGUUCAAAGUGGUGGAAACAGAUCCUAGCCCUUAUUGCAUUGUUGCUCCAGACACAGUGAUCCACUGCGAAGGGGAGCCUAUCAAACGAGAGGAUGAGGAAGAGUCCUUGAAUGAAGUAGGUUAUGAUGACAUUGGUGGCUGCAGGAAGCAGCUAGCUCAGAUCAAGGAGAUGGUGGAACUGCCCCUGAGACAUCCUGCCCUCUUUAAGGCAAUUGGUGUGAAGCCUCCUAGAGGAAUCCUGCUUUACGGACCUCCUGGAACAGGAAAGACCCUGAUUGCUCGAGCUGUAGCAAAUGAGACUGGAGCCUUCUUCUUCUUGAUUAAUGGUCCUGAGAUCAUGAGCAAAUUGGCUGGUGAGUCUGAGAGCAACCUUCGCAAAGCCUUUGAGGAGGCUGAGAAGAAUGCUCCUGCCAUCAUCUUCAUUGAUGAGCUGGAUGCCAUCGCUCCCAAAAGAGAGAAAACUCAUGGCGAGGUGGAGCGGCGCAUUGUAUCACAGUUGUUGACUCUCAUGGAUGGCCUAAAGCAGAGAGCACAUGUGAUUGUUAUGGCAGCAACCAACAGACCCAACAGCAUUGACCCAGCUCUACGGCGAUUUGGUCGCUUUGACAGGGAGGUAGAUAUUGGAAUUCCUGAUGCUACAGGACGCUUAGAGAUUCUUCAGAUCCAUACCAAGAACAUGAAGCUGGCAGAUGAUGUGGACCUGGAACAGGUAGCCAAUGAGACUCACGGGCAUGUGGGUGCUGACUUAGCAGCCCUGUGCUCAGAGGCUGCUCUGCAAGCCAUCCGCAAGAAGAUGGAUCUCAUUGACCUAGAGGAUGAGACCAUUGAUGCCGAGGUCAUGAACUCCCUAGCAGUUACUAUGGAUGACUUCCGGUGGGCCUUGAGCCAGAGUAACCCAUCAGCACUGCGGGAAACCGUGGUAGAAGUGCCACAGGUAACCUGGGAAGACAUCGGGGGCCUAGAGGAUGUCAAACGUGAGCUACAGGAGCUGGUCCAGUAUCCUGUGGAGCACCCAGACAAAUUCCUGAAGUUUGGCAUGACACCCUCCAAGGGAGUUCUGUUCUAUGGACCUCCUGGCUGUGGGAAAACUUUGUUGGCCAAAGCCAUUGCUAAUGAAUGCCAGGCCAACUUCAUCUCCAUCAAGGGUCCUGAGCUUCUCACCAUGUGGUUUGGGGAGUCUGAGGCCAAUGUCAGAGAAAUCUUUGACAAGGCCCGCCAAGCUGCCCCCUGUGUGCUAUUCUUUGAUGAGCUGGAUUCGAUUGCCAAGGCUCGUGGAGGUAACAUUGGAGAUGGUGGUGGGGCUGCUGACCGAGUCAUCAACCAGAUCCUGACAGAAAUGGAUGGCAUGUCCACAAAAAAAAAUGUGUUCAUCAUUGGCGCUACCAACCGGCCUGACAUCAUUGAUCCUGCCAUCCUCAGACCUGGCCGUCUUGAUCAGCUCAUCUACAUCCCACUUCCUGAUGAGAAGUCCCGUGUUGCCAUCCUCAAGGCUAACCUGCGCAAGUCCCCAGUUGCCAAGGCAGGAUGUGGACUUGGAGUUCCUGGCUAAAAUGACUAAUGGCUUCUCUGGAGCUGACCUGACAGAGAUUUGCCAGCGUGCUUGCAAGCUGGCCAUCCGUGAAUCCAUCGAGAGUGAGAUUAGGCGAGAACGAGAGAGGCAGACAAACCCAUCAGCCAUGGAGGUAGAAGAGGAUGAUCCAGUGCCUGAGAUCCGUCGAGAUCACUUUGAAGAAGCCAUGCGCUUUGCGCGCCGUUCUGUCAGUGACAAUGACAUUCGGAAGUAUGAGAUGUUUGCCCAGACCCUUCAGCAGAGUCGGGGCUUUGGCAGCUUCAGAUUCCCUUCAGGGAACCAGGGUGGAGCUGGCCCCAGUCAGGGCAGUGGAGGCGGCACAGGUGGCAGUGUAUACACAGAAGACAAUGAUGAUGACCUGUAUGGCUAAGUGGUGGUGGCCAGCGUGCAGUGAGCUGGCCUGCCUGGACCUUGUUCCCUGGGGGUGGGGGCGCUUGCCCAGGAGAGGGACCAGGGGUGCGCCCACAGCCUGCUCCAUUCUUCAGUCUGAACAGUUCAGCUACAGUCUGACUCUGGACAGGGGGUUUCUGUUGCAAAAAUACAAAACAAAAGCGAUAAAAUAAAAGCGAUUUUCAUUUGGUAGGCGGAGAGUGAAUUACCAACAGGGAAUUGGGCCUUGGGCCUAUGCCAUUUCUGUUGUAGUUUGGGGCAGUGCAGGGGACCUGUGUGGGGUGUGAACCAAGGCACUACUGCCACCUGCCACAGUAAAGCAUCUGCACUUGACUCAAUGCUGCCCGAGCCCUCCCUUCCCCCUAUCCAACCUGGGUAGGUGGGUAGGGGCCACAGUUGAUGGAUGUUUAUAUAGAGAGUAGGUUGAUUUAUUUUACAUGCUUUUGAGUUAAUGUUGGAAAACUAAUCACAAGCAGUUUCUAAACCAAAAAAUGACAUGUUGUAAAAGGACAAUAAACGUUGGGUCAAAAUGGA